UAUACCGUGAAACUGCGAAUGGCUCAUUAAAUCAGUUAUCGUUUAUUUGAUAGUACCUUACUACUUGGAUAACCGUGGUAAUUCUAGAGCUAAUACAUGCUGAAAACCCUGACUUCGGAAAGGGUGUAUUUAUUAGAUAAAAAACCAAUGCCCUUUGGGCUCUUUGGUGAUUCAUGAUAACUUAACGGAUCGCAUGGCCUUGCGCCGGCGACGGUUCAUUCAAAUUUCUGCCCUAUCAACUUUCGAUGGUAAGGUAUUGGCUUACCAUGGUUUCAACGGGUAACGGGGAAUUAGGGUUCGAUUCCGGAGAGGGAGCCUGAGAAACGGCUACCACAUCCAAGGAAGGCAGCAGGCGCGCAAAUUACCCAAUCCCGACACGGGGAGGUAGUGACAAUAAAUACUGAUACAGGGCUCUUUAGGGUCUUGUAAUCGGAAUGAGUACAAUUUAAACCUCUUAACGAGGAACAAUUGGAGGGCAAGUCUGGUGCCAGCAGCCGCGGUAAUUCCAGCUCCAAUAGCGUAUAUUAAAGUUGUUGCAGUUAAAAAGCUCGUAGUUGAAUCUUGGGCCUGGCUGGCCGGUCCGCCUCACCGCGUGUACUGGUCUGGCCGGGCCUUUCCUUCUGGAGAACCUCAUGCCCUUCAGUGGGUGUGUUGGGGAACCAGGACUUUUACUUUGAAAAAAUUAGAGUGUUCAAAGCAGGCCUUUGCUCGAAUACGUUAGCAUGGAAUAAUAGAAUAGGACGUGCGGUCCUAUUUUGUUGGUUUCUAGGACCGCCGUAAUGAUUAAUAGGGAUAGUCGGGGGCAUCAGUAUUCAAUUGUCAGAGGUGAAAUUCUUGGAUUUAUUGAAGACUAACUACUGCGAAAGCAUUUGCCAAGGAUGUUUUCAUUAAUCAGUGAACGAAAGUUAGGGGAUCGAAGACGAUCAGAUACCGUCGUAGUCUUAACCGUAAACUAUGCCGACUAGGGAUCGGGCGAUGUUUCUAUCUUGACUCGCUCGGCACCUUACGAGAAAUCAAAGUUUUUGG
rnacentral:rRNA from 1 species